GACGAACCGUCCUACCGUUAUUCGGAAUUACUGGGCUUAAAGGGUGCGUAGGCGGCGCGGAAAGUUGGGUGUGAAAUCCCUCGGCUUAACCGAGGAACUGCGCCCAAAACUACCGUGCUUGAGGGAGAUAGAGGUGAGCGGAACUUAGGGUGGAGCGGUGAAAUGCGUUGAUAUCCUAAGGAACACCGGUGGCGAAAGCGGCUCACUGGAUCUCUUCUGACGCUGAGGCACGAAAGCUAGGGUAGCAAACGGG
rnacentral:rRNA from 1 species